rnacentral:lncRNA from 1 species
ACACACACACACACACUUUAGUUAUUUACUUUUUUAUUUUAUGUUUAAGGUCUGGGGGCUGGAGAUGUGGUGGUUCAGUGUUGAAGAGCACUGGGUACUCUUUGACAUGGCCUGGGUUUGUCUCCCAUGGUGGCUCCAAAUCAUGUUAACUCCAGUUCUAGGGGACCCAACCUCCAUAGGCACCAGGCAUGCGUGAGGUACAUACACAAGUAAGUCUUUUUCUGAAAAAUAAAAGUUUAGUUGGGUAUGGCGGCACACACCUUUAAUGCCACCACUCAGGAGGCAGAGGCAGACAGACCUCUAUGAGUUUGAGGCCAGCCGAGGCUACAUAGGGAGUACAUAGGGAGACCAUGUCUCAAAAAGAAGUUUCACGCGUCCUUGACUACAUAGUAAAUUCAAGGCAACCUAACCAAAUAAGACCUUGUCUCAAACACAGAAAAAUAAGCUGUAAUGGGGACUGGAGCUCAACUGAUGGAGGACUUGGCUGGUACACAUGAGAUCUUAGAACCACUGCACAGCUCGGGUGGGCUGCCUUUUCUAGAAGUAUCUGUCCUUUGGUUCCAUGUCUGCACCAUACACUGUUCAUGUCAAAGUCUUCCUGUGCAAGGCUUGGACCUCAAGCUCAGCCUGUCUUCCUGGCACCCUGACUAGGUAAGGCACUCAUCUGAGAGCCUCAUGGGCUCAGUCUUUAGGUGGGGAACAGAUACCAGGACUCCUACCUGAUGGUCUUAAGAGUUCGAGCAGGUGGGACCACCAGAGAUAGGAGCUGAUCCUGGCCUACUCAUGAGCUCUGCACAGGUGCCCAUAAGCAAAAGGGUGGAAUGCUUUGCUGGGGUCCUCUAACCCUCCACCCCAGUGGGUCCAGCAUCCCGGUGGCCCACAAACACCUAUCUUCCACAUU